CUUACUGGACUGAGAAGUUCUCUUGCUGAAGCUCCUCUGGUCCUCUCAGCCGUUUAGAACUGAGCUGGUUUCUGCAAAUAUGAUCCAUCAGUUGAGUCUUGCCUUUACUGCUUUUUUGCUGCUUGGUUACAUGGAACCAAGUCAUCAAG